AAAGAGAAACGGGAGACUUUUCUUAACGCCGGUGUUGGUUUUUCCAACGAAAAACGAGAACAUUCUUGAAUGAACUUUACUUUCCUUCCCUGAAAUUGCCUUUCUCCCUUUUCUGAAUGAUACACCUUAUUUAAGACAUUCAGAAUAGAAGAAGAGCAGUCAUUGAUUGAUUGAAAGUGGAUUGACGGUAUUCAUCGGUCCCUUUUGGGCUUAAAAGUCCUUUGAGCCAUGGAAUCCCUUUUGUCUUGAUUGGAGUGGAAUUUUGUGUGUAGGGGUGAAAUCGGUAGAUCUACGAAGGAACGCCAAAAGCGAAGGCAGCUCUCUGGGUCCCGACCGACGCUGGGGUGCGAAAGCAUGGGGAGCGAACAGGAUUAGAUACCUAGUACUCCAUGCAGUAAACGAUGAGUGUUCGCCCUCGGUCUACGCGGAAGGGCCCAGCUAACGCGUGAAACACUCC
rnacentral:rRNA from 1 species